UGUGUUCAAAUGGAAGCCGAGCUAUUCAACCUGUGGCUGUCUUUGGGUUCUGUAGGCUACAACGCGAUAGUGGAUGAAAAAUUGACACUAUGUUCACCGUGAAUUGAAAAAAGUCCGGCCUUCCAUUUGGCAUUAUGUGAAUAUACUUAAUUAAAAUUCAUAUGUAAUUAAGGAGAAACUGGAGUGCAACGGGACUUUUGUCAUUACGAAAUAUUGGAACCAGAAAUAUUAAGCAACAACUUUUGAGGAGAGGCGAUCAAACUGACCACGCCUUAUAUUCACCGUUGAGUGUUAAUUCUGAAGACAACAUGUUUUCAAAAAACAUUAUCCUUUUGCUUACAUAUACUCUUACAUUGGUGUUGAUGAGCCAUCCGCCGCGGAUCUCCGCUCAGAAAUCGACUGGUCCAAGGUGGCUGAUUGGGGACAGGGAGAGCCACUGUGGCAUCAUCUGCUCACGGAGUCAUGGCAAGCCGGUGUGUGGCUCAGAUGGUCAAAGCUACGAGACUGGCUGCGACCUACAAAGGGCCAAAUGCAAGGACCGCACACUUACACUUGCACAUCGUGGCCGCUGCAAAGGUACAAAAAGGACUAUGAUUCCACCCCCUCUCCUCCCUGUGCCAACACUGGCCACCGAAGGAAAAGAGCUGGAACUGAAAGACUCCAGCCAGUCAAAGUGCCAUAUGGAACGAAUACAGGCCUUGGAGCAAGCAAAAAGACCCCAGGAGUCCAUCUUUAUUCCAGAAUGCAAUGAGGAUGGUACCUUUGCCCAGGUUCAGUGCCACACACUCACAGGCUACUGCUGGUGCGUCACCUCCGAUGGCAAACCAGUCAGCGGAUCCUCAGUCCACAACCGCACACCUGUGUGCUCAGGGUCAGUCACUGAUAAGCCUCCAGGACCUCCAAGUUCUGGAAGAAAAGUCUCUUUCCGUUUCUUUCUCACACUCAACCCAGAUGACGGCUCUAAACCUACGCCCACCAUGGAAACUCAUGUCGUACCUGAAGGAGAGGAAAUCACCGCCCCCAUUCUGUGGAUCAAGCAGCUUGUAUAUAAGGAAAAGCAGAACAACUCCAACAGCAAGAGACCAGAGAAGGUUCCUUCUUGUGACCAGGAGAGGCAGAGUGCUCUGGAUGAAGCCCGACAAAAUCCACGCGAGGCCAUCUUUAUCCCUGAGUGUGGGUCUCUGGGUCUCUUCAAGCCCGUCCAGUGCCACCAGUCCACUGGCUACUGCUGGUGUGUGCUGGUGGACACCGGGCGACCCAUCCCCGGCACUUCUACUCGGUACCAGACUCCAGAGUGUGACAAUGAUGCCCGGUCACGAGUGUCAGAGAUUGAGGACCCCUUCAGGGACAGGGAUCUGACAGGUUGUCCUGAUGGGAAGAAGGUGGAGUUUAUAACUAGCCUAUUGGAUGCACUGACCACAGACAUGGUCCAAGCCAUAAACUCACCAACCCCAUCUGGUGGUGGGAGGUUUGUGGAGCCAGACCCCAGUCACACGCUGGAGGAGAGGGUGGUGCACUGGUACUUCGCCCAGCUUGACAACAAUGGCAGCCACGACAUCAACAAGAAGGAGAUGAAGCCAUUCAAGCGCUACGUCAAGAAGAAAGCCAAGCCCAAGAGGUGUGCCCGCAAGUUCACCGACUACUGCGACCUGAACAAAGACAAGGCCAUCUCCCUGCUGGAGCUCAAAGGCUGCCUUGGUGUCAACAAGGAGGGAGGUACUCCUGUGAGCAGCAGCACCAGCAGCAGCAGCAGCAGCCAAGGGACAAGGCAAGGGACAAAUUUGUUCAGAUUCCCUCAUUAUUAGUCCCAUUGGUGUUGUUUGCUCUGGCUCGUGGGUCUCUGUAGAGCGGCUGAGCUCUGAGGUCAUGUGUUUACCCUGGCGCUGCCUGCCGAGGCCUGAAAAGCAGUGGCUGAGAGUGGGCAUAACGUCAGGCCUAUCGGGCCAUGGGCAUGCCUGCCAGGAUAAACAGCAAGGGUCGUUUGGAGAGGACGUCUGGUGUGAAGAGGGAAGGUUCCAGAAGCUGAAGCAAGUGCAGAGGGCACAGAGGACAAACAUCUGAAUGCUCUCUGACAGAAGAAAUGAGAGAGUGAAAGCAGAACAAAAUGAAGAGGUUCCUGUACAAAAUGAGAUAAAAAGAAGACAUUUUGGAGCCAAAAUAUUUGCACUUUCUCUUCCCAGUUUUUAGAUAUAUUUUUCAUCAUUGUUAAACUAUGACAUAAACCAUACUGUUAUUGUUCUGAGGAUCUAAGUAAGGAUAAAUACACAGUUUGUUGUAACUGCAUUGACUAAUUGUAAUUCACUACCUGUUUCAGUCCUGAUUUCAGCCAGGAUUUAUUUGCAAGGACACCAGAAUUAGCUGUCUCAUGAAAAUGUCAAACUAAUCUAUUUUAUCUGGUAGAUACAGUAUCUCACUCUACUAUGGAUGCAAGUGUGUAUUUUUGACUGAAAAAAAGCAGUAUGGUAUCAUGCUUACAGAAGUUCACUGUUCACUGAAGUCAUUGCUGGGAAGUUUUGGCAUUUCUAAUGAUCAGGUGUUGUGUAUCUUGAGCGGGGAUAACUGCUGUCAGGUGUAAGUGUGCUGUUGAAAAUAUUCACAUUGAGAAAUGAAACCACAUUGUUUAUUUUUACUUAUUAUAAAAAACUCAAUUACAACCGAGAUCGAGAUCAAACCAAUGCACAGAAUAGUAGUGUGUAAAAUAUACAUCUAACUGGACAGCUAAAUAUAUCUUUAGAUAUAAAUAAGUCGGUUCCAAGCCAAACUAUUUUCAUGGUAGGUGGUAGUCACAAAGUAGGUGCUUAGCCAGUAUUAAAACCAGUAUUUGUCCUUACAGACUUAAAAAGCUUUCACUGCAGGCGCUAGUUAAAUAGUGCUACUUUGCUUUAUGUUGUUCUGUGUUGAGGACCUCCAACAGAGUUGUAUUAACUUCUUAUUUUCCACUGGAAUUGAGACUACAGCAACUUUGGCAUUAGUGUUUGUGUCAAGGGUAAUUGGUUUUUAGUUGGAAAAUGACAGAAAGGAAGAAGGUCAAGGGAAACAUACAUAGCAGGCAAGUCGCCUGGCAAAGCCUGUGUUUACUGUGUAAAAAGGUUAAUGGCAAAGCAGUGAUAAAGAUCUGGAUUUUUGGGUAGCUGUUUCAUAAGACCAUGUGUUUAUCAUUCCUUACAUCGAACUCCAUUAACAACUGUUAGCAUUAAUACUAAAACACAUACAGACCAUCCGGAAGCACAUAGAACUGUUUAACUUGUGAAUGAAAGACAAAGGCAAAAAGGUAACAUUUACUCCCUCACUUAAAUGUAAUGUCAAAAUUUAGGAAAGAUGAGGAAUAUAAUUGAUUGUGUUUGUUUAUGUUUAUGUUUCUUAUGUUUGUGUGGACGUGCUGUGGCAGUGGCUCACGGAAGAAACAGAACGAUGGCAGAAUUGUAAAUAUGUAAGAUACCAUGUGGCAGGAAAGGCAACCCCAUCACAGGAGGGCUCUGGGUGCAGGUUCUUGCUCCACCUUAGCACUUAACAUGUGAAAAAUGGCUUUACAAUGGUCUUACCUAGUUCACCCUGCAUACAUUAAAGCCUGAAAAUGAUUAUGAAUCUACGGAGAGAGUCUCCCUAGCGCCCUGCCCGAAUGGAGUUACCUCACACUGCAGUAUUCACUGAAGGUGUGUCCUUAUUUCUUUGUCAAGUUUUGAAUUUGACAACCUCUAAAGGCAAUUUUACAUUUAAAUAGAGUUUUUUUUUUUUAUCUGUCAAUAAACCAAUAGCACCACCAGUAAAAGUAUAAAAUCAAAACACUGAGAAUACAUAUGCUGAAAUGA